GUGCCUGACUACCUUUCUGACUCUUUCAUUGACCAUUUUCCAUGACCAUGGUUGCCAUCCGUUACUUGCUCUUGUUUUAUAUUCUUAGCUCCGUGUGGUUGGUAGUGAGCAGGCUUAUUUUUAAAUGGUGCUGCCAAGUCCAGCUAAUUAAUGGUGCAGGUGGGUUUUUAGCAAGCUGUCUCACUGGAAUAGACUGAACUAGACAUGGAAUUCCUGAAGAUGUUUGUUUUUAUUAAUUGAAGGUUGACAUUCUCUGAAAAGUUUUGUUAGAACUUCCUCUGAACCUCAAAGUCAGUAGUCUGGAAGUGUUUCAAACCUUAACUUUCCUCCCUGCCUGCUUUGUAUUCUCUUUGCUUGCAAGUGUGUUAUUAAGAUGGCCAAAAUGCCAGUUUUUGCUUCUUUGUUAAUUGUCAGCUGCUUUUUAUCAGAUUCCAGGCCAUUGUCCAGCAAACACUAUAGAAAUGUUUGAACACUUGGAUUUCAAACAUUUUCGUUUUGUGGAGUGGUGCUUACCGUGGUACAGCUCUAAGUAAGCAAAUGCAAACACACUUAAGUGUUUUGUCUGUUAGGUGUUAGCCGGUUCUGCUAUUUCAUACAAAUGUCUGGAAAAAAUCAAUUGACUGUUCCCUUUACCUGGAGGGCAGAGACAAAUGAUCUCAAUUCCAGAGAAAUGACUGUUUUGGAGACAAAUGUGUUGGUCUUUUAGCUCUUUUGUAAUUAAAUCUGGAUGUACCUCAAAAGAAUCUUGAGACUGUGGUGAUACUAUGCUUUCCUCAGGAGAAAGGAGGAGAAAACCAACUGGAACUCAAAGCUUGAAAUUCUGUGACAAAACAUGAACUGUCCAGAAUAGGAGGUUGAAAGGGUUUCACUACAGCGUUCUGCACUCGCUGGAACCGAUGUCUUUCAGUGUAAUCACCGCGUGGGCUCCAGAUUUCCAGAAUUUCAAGAACUGGAUCUGGGACCUGGAAGAAAAUACCAGGGUGUGACAGGAACUCGGGAGCUGGACUUGUUUUUGAAUUUGAGGAGUGUUGUCCUUGUUUUGAAAAAGAGACAAUGACUGAGCAAGCACUGCCACCAGCGCUAUUACUGGAAAUUCGGAGACCUGAGUUUUCACCAAACGCUCAGUGCAUACUCUGGCGAUGCUUCAUCCAAAGUGAACUACGUCCUGUGCCUCCUGGUUGCCGAGUGUUCAUCUGGAUCUUCUGAUCACCUUUGUGCUAUUCCAUCAGCCUACAGAUCUGGUACCUGGAUUUUUGCCCAUGGUGAUGGAUUCUGCCACCUCAGUGCUGAAGAAGACAUCAUUCCAGUGGACCACUGUGAUCUAGGAGGCGUAUCCAGCGAAUCAUGAUGUGGCCUUCACCUCCACUCCUGUCCUGUUCUACCCAGAUUCAACACAGCCUUUUGUAGUGAAGUUCAACUUCUCAAGCCAAAUAGCUGAAGCUGUUUUAUCACAACAAAGGUUCAGCUUGUUCCAUAAAUGUGCAUUUCGUUUCUCCAGUUAAAGCUUUCAGAGACACAUAAUAAAUUUGGACCAGGGGAUUUUUAGUUAUCAGCACUGUCUGAAGAAUGGCAGCAUCUUUUUGAGAACCAUAUCGGACCAUGCCCCACUGUCUCAAAUGAUUGAAAUUCAGGAAUUGUCUAAUCUGGACCCCAUUCUUUUUCCAUUUCAAAUCUGUAGUAGCCUACUGAAUGAGCAAGCAGAUAUUCUGACCCGUUGGGAUCAAAACAAAGGCACAGUGAACUCACAGCAUCUUCUUUGGGAUUACUCAGGAACCAGAACUUUUCACACAAAUCAUUUUGUGAACCAACUUACUCUUAGAUCAUUGGUUUUCCAAAGGCUUUGUGGCCAUGAAGCACUUUGAAUGAAAACUUUAUGGAAGCCCAGAGUAAAAGUGAAGCUGCUCUGGAGGAAGCAGAAGUGGGGGGCCUGAAACCUGCCACAAGCAUCUUACUUUACCAUCAUGGUGACACCUAAGGAGACUUCCUUACAACAACUAGAAAUCUUCAGAACACAGUUUGGAAACCACUGCCCUAGACAACAGUACGACCUGAAUGGCAUUCUGUUCUGUACCUCUACCCAACACGUCGGUGUUCAGUUGAUAAUGAGCAUUCUUAGGAAUACUCAGAGAGUGCAAGAAGAUGGACAUAUCUUUGCCCCCAAGAUUAGUCAUAUGGGCUGAAAGUAAUAUCAAAGAGACCUAGAAUAAUAGCCCUCUAACCACAAAUAGACUUCCAGUGAUUCCUGAAUGAUACAGCCACAGAGCAAUUUGUAUGUUACACUGACAAACCCCCUUAUUCAACUUCUUCCACAAACACCGGAUGCUCUAGUGGUACUUAAGAUGCAUGACCUUGAAGUCUUGAUCCUCCUUGAAUACAGUGAACACCAAGUAUUGAAGCUGAUGUUAAAGUCGAUGCCUCAUUGAGGCAGUAUUAGACCAGCUGUACAUUGGACCUCCCAUUCUCAGCUAUGGUACUCUACUUCGUGUGCAAGGGAUAACCAUAAACUAUGAAAGCAGAAUUCAGAGACUGGCAACAUUACCGAAAAGGGCACCUGAUGAUGAUUCAUCUUCUCAAACUACGUCACUAUCACUCAGCCAUUGGCAGUUACACUACUGCUUGGUUUUUAUUCCGUUUAACUGCUGUUUCCAGAAUAAAGAAGCAAAUAACCUCUGAAAAACUGCUAAAACAAUUCCUCCAUCACUGGCACAUCUGCCUGUUCUGCUCAGAAAUUAGUACUCAGCUCUACAUGUAAUACCUGAUCCACAAGAGACAAUCUCUGAACACCCUUUUCUUGUGUGUGUAAUUUAAAAUGUGGCCAUUGUAAAAAUUUUCUUCCAGCCAAUGAGAGAGUUUAAGAUGAAUCUUUUGAUGUCUGAUACCAUCAGUUGUUGAUGUUAAUGAUAUUUAGAGGUAGGCCUUUGGAUCAGGCCUUGAUAGCUUACUUGGUGGGCAUCUCAAAUUCCGUAUCUACCUUUUUGCUGGAAAUGUAGACUAACGUGAAAGGAAAUCUAUAAAGCCUGCAGCUAAAGAGUUUUAGCAAUAGGCUCAAGCUUCUUGAGUCUUCCCAAUGUCACAAGACCACAGUCCCUUGUCCUUGUGGAUGUUUCCAUGGAAUUUCAUCUGUUGUUUUAACUGAAUCACAGUGGCUGACUUCAUUUCUUGUCAUGAAGUACUCUCAGGCAUUAAGACAACUUGUCUGUUCAGGAGGGAUUUGAUUCAUGAAUUCCCAGACCAGAUCAUGUAGAACAAGUAGACUUUAAUCCAUGCCCUGAGAAAAAAAUCUUAUUUCUUCAGAAUUGACUCAAGGGCCAGCUGUCCUCAACUACUUUAAUGAAUGCACUGGUUAAAAGUUGGGAAUGUUUAUAUCUUUGUCUCUUAUCCUCUACACUAAUUGUGAUUAUGUGACUCAGUGUACAAAUCAUCAAACAAAGCCUAAGUGGUUAUUCUAUACUGCUCAUUUUCAACAAAAUCUGAUGACUAGCCUGCUUGUGUAUAUACAACUAUUAUUUGUAAAGAAGAAAUUGUCUACAAACUCGGUUUUUUCACUACCUUCAUAAUGUCAACUCGAUUUUCUUUUUCUCCUGGACUUGACCGGAAGAUACAUUGAUCUAUCACUGCCAGUCAUUUCCUUUAACCCUGUUAAAAUGAGAGACUUAAAAAGGUAAAGAUGAUCAUCUGUUCAAGAGUCUAAUGUAUGCUGUGUAUAAGAAUUGAUGGUGGAAAAAGCCUAAAACUCAAACCUAGUAACUGUCUCCGUGCCUCAGAUCUCAUCUUGCAGCAGUACCAUUCAACCAGUCUGAGGCCUUGACUUGUUGAUAAGAUGUUUCUCAGAGAUGAGCUGAAUUACAGAAGAUGGAGACUUGAUUACCAAAGAAAGUAGGGCCAACCUUGAUGAACCUGGCUCUCCCAACCCUAUCACUCCCAGAUGUAGCAUAGACUCCUAAACAGAACCUCAAGUCUGGAUUUAAGAGAUACCCUUCUCCUGAGCUGAAAGUUCUUGGACAGAUCAGCAGGAAAGUGAAAGUUGCUAUACCUGACUGGCCCUUUAAGAUCAGAAAAUUGUAUCUAGAGUAAACCGUAUGGAUUAACCCUGGAAUACUCAGGGUUAAAGCUAAUUUACAGAACUUCAACGUUAAACUGCCUGUUUUUCCAGAUCUUAGCCUGGCUACUGAUAUGACUGGCCCUGCUGAAGUUACCUUACUUACUUGUCUAUUUACCUGAUUCAGCCAUUGCCUGCCUUUCUGACAUAUUGCUGCAAUCUGACACUGUCCUUCAGAAGACUACAGCUGAUCUCGGCUAUCUUAUAUCCGUUUCCACCAAGAAGUUUUGAACAGAAGCAACCUGUACUUCUGUAGUCUCCAGGACUUGAUGUUCACAACAGGAAGGAGCAUGCUACAUACUCCUUGACCAGCAGCUUUUUUUUUUUUUAACUGCAGAGUAAGUCUCUAUGCCUAUAUAUAUUAGAUCAUCAUUUUCAGCACUUGGGACCUUCUCUGCCAGAUCUGAAGGAGCAGAGCAGAUUGAAAGCACUGUCCAUUCCUCCAUUCUAUGGUCAUACGGAGAUGAAUCUGAUUUACAGUAUUCACAGAAACGUACCAGUUCAACUUGGCAAAAGACUUAAAGGAACAUAAAACUUUUACACUGAACUUAAAAUUUACCACUGACUUGAGGAAGUCUCACAGAACUCUUUGCCAGUGGGAGGCUGGUUGUCCUGUUUCAUGUCAGCAAGACAGUUGGGCUCUCAGGCUCAUGCCGACUGAGUUUACUUACAUUGAAACUCUUGUAUCAUCCAGAUAUGCUAUUGGACAUGAUUAUUCCAUUCAGAUGGAUUACAAGCCUCCUGAGUAGAAGACAAACUUACUACUCAUGAUUUUUUCGAGAAUACUUUUAUCAUCAAGGAAGGAACAAUGCCAGUGGUUACCAUUCAACUUUAUGAGCACAGAUUAAACUUUUUCAGUAUCUGGUCUUACCACUGACAUCAGUUGUUUUUGAUUGACCAGCCUCCAUUCCAUUCCUUUGUAACGACUCCCUGAUGUUUCUUCGAACCCCUUCUCCCUUUCUUCAGUCCACAUGGUUCAGUCUGACCUAAUCUUAGGUUUCAUGGAUGGACACGUAAUUCAGACCUGAUCAAUCAGCACAGUCCAUCUCCUUGACCAUAGUGAUUGAUGCAGGAUUGGUCAUGUGAUUCAAGUUGGUCCAGUGAUUCUCAACCCUAAGAGUUUUAGUGAACUACGGAAGAGAAGCUCUUUACUGAGAAUGCUUAGCUCUGUAGGAUGAAAAGCUCAAACCAACAGGGCCCAACAUAUCAAAUGAGCCAGUCGGAGAAUGAAGCCAGUAUAGAGGAAAAUGGAGCCAAAUGAUGGAGAGACUUGAGUCCUGAUGACAACGUUUGUGCCCCUGGAUCAAACCGUGCCUGAAGCUAGUAUAUCCCCUGGACUUUUCAGUUAUGUGAAUCAAUAAAUACCCUUCUUUGCUUAAGUU
rnacentral:lncRNA from 1 species